AAUGGACACUGUGAUAAUUACAUUACUCUCCCUGGUCACUGUUGUCCAGUUUGUCAGAGCGGCUUUGGACCUGAAAUCGCAGUUUAAAACUUGUGAAUGAUGACGAGCUUUUGGUGAAACACUUGUUAAUGGAGUAUAAAAGUUUUAUAUGCAAAUGAAAUAAAACAUCUGUUGUAGA
rnacentral:sRNA from 1 species